rnacentral:rRNA from 1 species
AUACGGAGGAUGCAAGCGUUAUCCGGAUUUAUUAGGUUUAAAGGGUGUGUAGGCGGGAUUAUAAGUCAGUGGUGAAAGAUUUCAGCUCAACUGGAAAAUUGCCAUUGAAACUGUUUUUCUUGAGUUUGGUUGAGGUAUGCGGAAUGUGUAAUGUAGCAGUGAAAUGCUUAGAUAUUACCCAGAACCCCUAUUGCGAAGGCAGCAUGCUAACCCAUAACUGACGCUGAUGCACGAAAGCGUGGGGAUCAAACAGGAUUAGAUACCCUGGUAGUCCACGCCGUAAACUAUGAUUACUCGCUGUUGGCGAUACACAGUCAGUGGCUUAGCGAAAGCAUUAAGUAAUCCACCUGGGGAGUACGUUCGCAAGAAUGAA